AUUUAAGUAGUUUAAUAUAAAACAAUGAUUUGUGGUAUCAUAGAUAUAAAUUUGUCAUUUUAAAUU
rnacentral:tRNA from 1 species